rnacentral:tRNA from 1 species
CGGGGUGUGGCGCAGCUUGGUAGCGCGCUUCGUUCGGGACGAAGAGGUCGUGGGUUCGAAUCCCGCCACCCCGACC